CAGCAGCCACGGGAAUACGUAGGGUGCAAGCGUUAAUCGGAAUUACUGGGCGUAAAGCGUGCGCAGGCGGUUAUAUAAGACAGAUGUGAAAUCCCCGGGCUCAACCUGGGAACUGCAUUUGUGACUGUAUAGCUAGAGUACGGCAGAGGGGGAUGGAAUCCCGCGUGUAGCAGUGAAAUGCGUAGAUAUGCGGAGGAACACCGAUGGCGAAGGCAGCCCCCUGGGAUAACACUGACGCUCAUGCACGAAAGCAUGGGGAGCAAACAGGAUUAGAUACCCCGGUAGUCCCUGUCUCUUAUAC
rnacentral:rRNA from 1 species